ACAGUGACUUUCCCAGGAUCAGAGAGGACAACCCCCGGUCCUGACAGCGCCGGUGCAAAUAACAUCAUGUACCGCGUUGUCCUGCCUCUAGGCAUAUUUCUAUUGGUUGCCGGUGCGAUUAUCAUCUUUUGCUGUUACAAGUACAAGGCCUGGCGCCGGCGUGAACAAAAACAGGCAACUGAUCUAGUGAUGG